rnacentral:rRNA from 1 species
CCUACGGGUGGCAGCAGUGAGGAAUAUUGGUCAAUGGCCGGAAGGCUGAACCAGCCAUGCCGCGUGAAGGUCAGUGCCCUAUGGGCGUUAAACUUCUUUUGUGCGGGAGCAAUAAUGGUCACGUGUGGCCAGACGAGAGUACCGUACGAAUAAGCAUCGGCUAACUCCGUGCCAGCCGCCGCGGUAAUACGGGGGAUGUAAGCGUUAUACGGGUUUAUUGGGUUUAAAGGGUGCGUAGGCUGGGAGGUAAGUCAGCGGGGAAAUGCCCCCGCUCAAAGGGGUGAAGUGCCAUUGAUACUGGCUGGCUGGAAUGCGGAUGACGUGGGAGGAAUGUGUGGUGUAGCGGUGAAAUGCAUAGAUAUCACACAGAACACCGAUUGCGAAGGCAUCUCACGAAUCCGCGAUUGACGCUGAGGCACGAAAGCGUGGGUAUCAAACAGGAUUAGAUACCCCGGUAGUC